ensembl:lncRNA
ACUCUCCAGGUGGGUCAGCCUGCGUGUCCUCCUGACCUCAUGAAGUCAGAGGACCCCAACCCCACCUUGAGCAGGUGCUGCCUGCCUCCUGCAUCUCCACCCCUCAUCCCAUGAAUAUCCACCUUUGCCUUCUGGAGAGCUGGUCUGAGGCUUGUUCUGCCAUCUUCUUGGACCUUGUGGAUAAACCCCUCUUUGCUGCAAACCCCCGGUAUCCCCUGGGCUGUGGCUCCUGACAGCAUGUUGGGCAAGCGGACCUGAUUUGUUGACAAGACGUCUGUCUCCUUCACUCCCUGCCUCGGAACCAGCCCCUGUUUAACUGUGCCCACGUGGUUCCAGAAGUGUCCUGGGUAUCUGCCCCGGGGGCCCUCAUGCGGGGGGUAGGUGGUGAUGGAACACCUGCCCCCCCUGACUCCAGGGCCCCAGGUCUGCAGUGAACCCCCCGGGGCUUAUCACCGAAUAAAUUGGAGAGCAGGAUUCCAUUAAAACAUUUUCAGCAAAAGUAUUAAAUAAA